UACCAGCACCCCGAGUGGUCGGGACGAUUAUUGGGCCUAAAGCAUCCGUAGCCGGCCUUACAAGUCCUCCGUUAAAUCCAGCUGCUUAACAGAUGGGCUGCGGAGGAUACUAUAAGACUAGGAGGCAGGAGAGGCAAGCGGUACUCAGUGGGUAGGGGUAAAAUCCGUUGAUCCAUUGAAGACCACCAGUGGCGAAGGCGGCUUGCCAGAAUGCGCUCGACGGUG
rnacentral:rRNA from 1 species